rnacentral:rRNA from 1 species
UACGAAGGGGGCUAGCGUUGCUCGGAAUCACUGGGCGUAAAGGGUGCGUAGGCGGGUCUUUAAGUCAGGGGUGAAAUCCUGGAGCUCAACUCCAGAACUGCCUUUGAUACUGAAGAUCUUGAGUUCGGGAGAGGUGAGUGGAACUGCGAGUGUAGAGGUGAAAUUCGUAGAUAUUCGGAAGAACACCAGUGGCGAAGGCGACUCACUGGACACGUAUUGACGCUGAGGAGCGAAAGCGUGGGGAGCAAACAGG